CUAGGAUGAACGCUAGCUACAGGCUUAACACAUGCAAGUCAGGGGCAGCAUGGCUUAGCUUGCUAAGACUGAUGGCGACCGGCGCACGGGUGAGUAACGCGUAUCCAACCUGGCCCGCAGUAGGGAACAGCCCGGCGAAAGUCGGAUUAAUGCCCUAUGUCUUCCUUUGCAGGCAUCCAAUGAGGAAGAAAGAUUUAUCGCUGCGGGAUGGGGAUGCGUCUGAUUAGCUUGUCGGCGGGGUAACGGCCCACCGAGGCGACGAUCAGUAGGGGUUCUGAGAGGAAGGUCCCCCACACUGGUACUGAGACACGGACCAGACUCCUACGGGAGGCAGCAGUGAGGAAUAUUGGUCAAUGGGCGAGAGCCUGAACCAGCCAAGUAGCGUGCAGGGAACCGACUGCCCUAUGGGUUGUAAAACUGCUUUUAUGCGGGGAUAAACUUCAGCACGUGUGCUGUUUUGCAGGUACCGCAUGAAUAAGGACCGGCUAAUUCCGUGCCAGCCGCCGC
rnacentral:rRNA from 1 species